UACGAAGGGGGCGAGCGUUGUUCGGAAUUACUGGGCGUAAAGGGCGCGUAGGCGGCCGAUCAAGUCAGAUGUGAAAGUCCUGGGCUUAACCUGGGGACUGCAUUUGAUACUGAUUGGCUUGAAUGCAGGAGAGGAUAGCGGAAUUCCCAGUGUAGCGGUGAAAUGCGUAGAUAUCAGGAGGAACACCGGUGGCGAAGGCGGCUAUCUGGACAGAAACUGACGCUGAGGCGCGAAAGCUAGGGGAGCAAACAGG
rnacentral:rRNA from 1 species